UACAGAGGGUGCAAGCGUUGUUCGGAAUUACUGGGCGUAAAGCGUACGCAGGCGGCUUUGCAAGACAGGUGUGAAAUCCCCGGGCCUAACCUGGGAACUGCAUUUGUGACUGCAUGGCUAGAGUUUGUCAGAGGGGGGUGGAAUUCCACGUGUAGCAGUGAAAUGCGUAGAUAUGUGGAGGAACACCGAUGGCGAAGGCAGCCCCCUGGGAUGUGACUGACGCUCAUGUACGAAAGCGUGGGGAGCAAACAGG
rnacentral:rRNA from 1 species